AUUGAACGCUGGCGGCAUGCUUUACACAUGCAAGUCGAACGGCAGCGGGGAGGCGCUUCCUUCUCUGCCGGCGAGUGGCGCACGUGUGAGUAAUACAUCGGAACUUGUUGAGAAGAGGGGGAUACUCACGCGAAAGGGUGCCUAAUACCGCAUAAAUUCUGAGGCAGAAAGCUGGGGACCUAGGAAUAGUCUUAGCGCUUUUUGUACGGCCGAUGGCGGAUUAGCUAGUUGGUGAGGAAAAGGCCCACCAAGGCGAAGAUCAGUAGCGGGCCUGAGAGGAUGAUCCGCCACACUGGGACUGAGACACGGCCCAGACUCCUACGGGAGGCAGCAGUGGGGAAUUUUGGACAAUGGGGGCAACCCUGAUCCAGCCAUGCCGCGUGUAUGAAGAAGGCCUUAGGGUUGUAAAGUACUUUUGUUAGGGAAGAAAAGACAGCUGUGAAUAAUGGCUGAUACUGACGGUACCUAAAGAAUAAGCACCGGCUAACUACGUG
rnacentral:rRNA from 1 species